AACGUACACACAGCCACGAGGUAGAUAAUUCUUGCACAUGCCCAUGAAUGAAAACAUGGCGUCUAUGGAUAGGCUUGUGAGUAAGCAUCACCGGAGAUAGCUGAACUUCAUAAUGAAGAAGUGAUCUGAGUAGAUAAUUAUAACUGGAAAAUACAAUCUACUCCUUCCUUGCUAUUAAGAUAUCAAAACCGAGGUCUGAAGUGUCCGACACUGAGUCAGGUCAACUCAUCACAGACGUGCAGAGGUCACGGAAUGCAUGGGAGCCGGAGAUCUACUACAGUAUUGUAGAUAUUGAGCUGAAGAAAUCAUUUUAGAGCAGCCACUUUGUCUUUCAUGAUAAGGCUUUUGGUGAAGAAAGUGUUGUUUCAAGAAUGAUCAGUCGAUUGCUGUUUGUUUGGGGCGUCUCCUUUCUAUUGGUCCAAGCCCAAGAGACAGGGAUCCCCUUUGCCCCUUCAAACCUCAAUAUAUCCACUCAAGGCAAAGAUUUUGUUCUAUCGUGGACCCCUCCAUUGAUCCAUGACUGGGAGAAUCUCACGUAUUCAGUCACGGUACGGAAUCAAGUCAGUAACGAGUCACGCAUGACCACCACUCUGAGUUCACCGUUCACCUUUAGCGAGAGCAUCGGAAAGAGAGAUUGUCAAUUGUACGAGUUCACCCUGGUCUCCAUGAAUCAAGUUGGACUCAGUACCAAUGGUGUCUUUGGGAGUAGAAUAGUGCCUACGGGUAAGCUAUGUAAUUACAUAAUUAUAGCUAUAAUGAAAGCUGAUGCCUCGGUGGAAGCAUAGAUACUAGUAUCUAUGGUGGAGGUGUCAAAGCUACAGCUACUAGCAAUAGCUUUUAUACACUGUCACACAUUGAUUAUAAUUAUCAUGAUGAACAAUUUGCUGCAUGCAAGCAUAGAGAGAAACUCAACGAUUGGUUAAUGAACGGCCAUGAUUGUUGUUAAAAAAGAUCGAUGCCAAAAGUCCAAAUGGCUGCUAGUAUAAUUAUAUUAGAUCCCAUUUGAGUGUAUUUAGCAGGGAACUAUGAGCUAUAGUACCGGUACUAUAGAUUGCUCUGGGCUACAGACUACAACAUUGUACAUUGUAUUGUGAUUUACAAGAUACACAUGUAAUAACAUAACAAUUAUUGUAGCUAGAUGCUUUGUCUAGUAAUAUAAUAACAGAACUAGAAUGAAAGAGAGAAGCUCUAGUUUCUUUUUUUGGCUUUGUUCGAGAGUAGUAGGAGACGCUUGUUUUUUGGGCAGUGUGCUGUGCUUUUUGCUGCAAGGCUGCAUGGGGGAGGAGCUGGAUGUAUGGAAGUGCUGGGAUUCUAGCUUUGGCUUCUUUCUAAAGUUCCUUUCGCUUUGUUCAAGAGUAGUAUAGGCGCCACUCGUUUGCUGGGCUUGUUUGCUUCAAAUUAUAGCUUAGGUGUCUUCCUUUCGCUUUGUGAGAGUAGUUUAGUUUAGGGUUGAAUUUUGGCUCGAUUAUCUAUUAUCGCAUGGCUAAAGGUAAUAUGUUUUCCUCCCCAUCCUAUACCUCUUGGUGCCCUACCACACAAAUGUAAUGACUUUGCUAGUUAGUUAUUCACUUAGUCAUUUCCUGUUCUUAAUGUUUCCUGUGUUGUAAUGUUUCCUGUUUAAUUGUACAUGCGCAUGAGUUCUUAUUACUGGAUAACACUUCUUUUGUAUAGUCUAUCUUAUUGCUUUGUGCUCUAGCCCAGCGGCCUGCUCCUAGCGGCACCCUUUGUGUAUGGGAGCCUCUGCUCCACUGUCUUUGUUGUCUUAGUAUUGACCGUCUAUGUUUUGUGCAUACUGCCAGUUGAUCUAUGG